GACGAACGCUGGCGGCGUGCCUAAUACAUGCAAGUCGAACGCAGUGGGGACGGGUGAGUUACCCGUGGGUAACCUCCCAUCAAAGGUGAUAACACUUGCAAACAGCUGCUAAAUCUACACUCAUGGAUGCACUCGCGGUGUAUUAGCUAGUUGGUGAGGUAACGGCUCACUAAGGCAACGAUGCAUAGGCGACCUGGGAGGGGGAUCGGCCACACUGGAGCAGAGACACGGUCCAGACUCCUACGGGAGGCAGCAGUAGGGAAUCUUCGGCAAUGGACGAAAGUCUGACCGAGCAACGCCGCGUGAGUGAAGAGGGUUUUCGGAUCGAAAAACUCUGUUAUGAGGGAAGCGGUAGCUAACCAGAAAGCCACGGCUGACUACGUGCCAGCGGCCGCGGUAAUUC
rnacentral:rRNA from 1 species